GCUAAGGACCUGUCAGCAAAACAGGGGAGCAGGUCUAGCUUGGUAACUUCAUCCCCUUUCUCUGGCUGUGGCCUCUCCUCCAUUUGGCAGUUUGCUGCUCGUGUCCUCUUUGUAGCUGACAGAUUCUGAAGAACGUGAACGUGAAUUUUUGGAGGUCAUGUCAGAGUUGAAGGCAGUGUUUAUGAAAAUGGAUGAGGGGGGCUGAGAACUGUUUUCUCUGUUACAUUCUGCUUUGUCUCUUUCCUUUAUGCAGCAGUUUAGAGCUUCAUAUCUUUGUUGAAGCAACAAAAUUCCUUUCCUUCUUCUGGAGCAUUGAUGCCACAACUCUCUCCUUCCUCAGAAGUGUUUGCCUACCCGUGGCUCAUCGUUAGUCUCAGAUCUUGCGAAAGUUCCAGCUUUUUAUCACUGCGCGGGUCAAACUUGCUGUCCCCAAAGGAAGAAAGAGAAGUUUCCAAACCAAAGUAGGGCACUUUGUACACUCACACCUGAUGUAGCAGCAUUGGGUGGGCUUCUGCUGUGGCUGCCAUGCUGGCUUUUGGAUCCGCUUGUGAUAGUCAGGUUCUGCAGAGCCGCAGGACUUCUGACACCGUGUGUGGGAAUUUGGAGCAGCAAGGCCUGUCACUGACUAGAUUUUAAAUUAUUGUUGGUCUGAAGAGAAAAAUACCUAUUUUGUCUCUUCCUCAUUUUCCUCUUACCCCCAUCCAGUGUUACUUUGGCAUGAGUUAUUUGCAUGUCAUUAUUUCAGCUGCCCUAAAUUGGGGGGGACUGUGAUGCCAGGGCUGAUUAUGUGGCGGCGCUGGACAAUUUUCUCUGUUAGGCAACUGUAAUACAUUUCCAUGUUCUUUUAUAAUGAGCUUUAUUUACCAAAUUGGCAAUUCCUCUGUUGAGAAAUAACUGAUUACAGCAUUCAGGGAGUUGCUGUCAUCUCAAGAUAUGCAGGUGUCUGUGGAACAUAAACAGAUGUGAUCGUUCAGACAAUGAACUCAAUUGAUAGAGGGUAGGGGAAAAAAAUUCAGCCAUAAAAUCAUAAAUGUAACAUCUCCAGCUAAUGUUGGCCAGGUGCACUGUGGCUGUUUUGCAGACCAGCAAGGACAGAGUGGCACUCUCAGGCCAUCCAGCACCUCCAGACGAGAGACCGCUUGAUUAUUAGUUGAAAAUACACCUCUUGCACAUCAUCCCACUUCAGUACUGGCUUGCCUAACCCUCAGCCUCUGGUGGCUUCUGAGGUCAGAAGUUAGUUCAUCGUGUAGCCUUAGAGUUGGAAAAUCCUGUCCGGCCAUGCUAGGUUUGAUUUUGGAUACUCUCUGAUGAACAUCUGCAAACUUCCUGGUGAUCCUGUGUUGUGGGGAUUGCGGUCCUGUCUGCCUUCCAGGCAGCCCCUUCCUUUGGUGUUGCAUAGGGCCCAUGAGUGGUUCUGUUGCUGCUGUUGCCCUGAUCGUCAGCUUAAAUAUCUGAGCCUCGGGAGAAACAUGAUGAGGAGAGAUGUCAAUGGGAAACUACCAAAGAUGAGAGUCAGUUUGUGGAGCCUUAGAAGCCACCUGAGUAAAAAAUCUACAGGUAGCACAGCUUUGAGUGUAUUUUUUUCCCCUGCUACUAUUCUUACUCUUUUUUUCCCCUGCUACCGUAUUACUGAGGCCCUUGCAAAGAAGGAAGAAGCCCCACAUCUGCUCUUAAGCUCCCUCUCCUUCUGUUUCUCCUUGACUGCUUGUUGGAUAUCCAGAGCAUUUUUUUUUUCCAUGCAGGAUUGUGACAGCAGGUGUCAGUUACAUUCCAGAGUAGGAGAGAUCGUUAUUGCUGGUGCCUGGUGGCCAGUGUUGAAUAGAUGUCCUUAUCACACAGCCACCGUCGCAGUUGGCAUUAAUGGGAAGCUUGGACAACAAGGAUAAGCACGGGCUGAGUCUUUUGUAGAAGCUGAAUUGGAGGCAGUUCCCUCCAAGGCAAGUUUGAGGUGGGGUACGGGCAGUGAGCCACACUGCUGUCUGUGCUGCACGUGCUGGAUGAAAAGGAGCUCUUUCGUGCCCAGGAAUAUCCGUGACCUUUUCCACCUACUAAAACCCAAACUGCCCAAUGCCAGAUGCAGUUCAGCUCGAUGCUCCAUUCAGCCGAACAGCUGCAUGUCCAUUUUGCCUGCUCAGUUUUUGCAGUUCUGUGUGCAAAUUGGGUAAUUGUGUGUACGAAUGCAUCCAGUAAUUCAUCUGCAGUGUGCAGAAUUGUGGUAAUUUCAUAUAAAAAUACAGGUUUUCAGAGUGCCCGCUUUACAAGUAGGAAUUGUUUUAAAACUGGCCAGAUGAAUGAAGGAACAACCUUUUUAUUUGUGCAUAAUUUCUUGGUGUUGUGGGAAGGAAAAAGAACACAAACAACAAAGUUAGAGGAGAUAGAGCAAAUAACAGAACUGAUAGAAAUUUUCCAGUAGGCUUCAAUAGCUUUUUAAAUGAAACAUUCAACAAGCACUUUGAGAUUCCAGCGUGCAAGGACAUCUCAGGCUCUCUAACCACCAAAUUUGUGAUCUUGCAUAUAAACACAACCCAUUGCCUCCUGUUGUUAAUAUUUCACACUUGGCUUUGCAAGAUGUUUUAUCUAAUAUCCUCUCUGCAUUCAGGCUUCUACCAACUCUGCCUUGUCCACAACAAGAGAGGCUGGAGGAAGAAGGCAAUUGCCAAGCGUGUCUGUAAUCUAUGUAGGAGGGUUUUGUGUAGCUGUAGGGGGAGAAGAGUAAGUCUCAUUUCUUAUUUUAUAGUCUGCUGAAUCCUGUGAUCUCGUGCUGUGCGCUCCUUUCCUAGGCAGAAUUUUUCCAUUUGUCUUUCGGGUUGUUGUUAUUUUUUAUUUCCAAACUGGUUAAAAGUGUUUGUCUGUAGCUUGUCGCUAAAUUGUUUACGUCUGAUUCCCUUAAAACACUUCAUUGCCAGCCUUCUGCGCAUCUCGGGACCACGUUCUUCAGUUUGCCUGGUUACUUGGUCUUUUCAGGUUAGAAGCAGAAUCGAUACAAGGACUCUCCUCUCCUCUCCUUCCUUCCCAAUGCCUCUAACAGCUGCUGUAAUUAGAUGCACCUGGUUAAAAUACAGCCUACAACUGCAACAGCUCUUUCUGCCACCCCAGGGAGCUGUCGCACCCUUUUCUCUUUUCAGCUGGCGCAGCACCCCAGGAAACUUGUGGCAGCCUGAUGGGCUGUUCAGAGCCCUGCGGGUCCGUAGCCCCACACCUGCUCUCCUUUUUAGUUUUAUAUUUUUAUUUUUAUUGUCCUUGGAGGAGAUGGAUGUGAUAUUCCUGCACCAAUUCUCAUGACCUCCUUAUCUGUCAGCCUUAUCACUCUGCUCUUUGUGCACGCCUUGGCUUCCCAUCACUUCCCCAGGUCUCCUAGGCUGAUGUGCUGGGAGACUGAAGGGUGAUGUGGACUGAAGUGAUUAGCCUGGACCAGUAGUCGUCUGCAUGCUGAGCUUGUUCAGGGCAGUAAUGAUGCCCCUCCGCCUCCCGCCCGGUGUUAAUUACGCCGGCAGAGUGGUAGUUGCACAGCCUGGGGCAAAGCUAGAGGGAGCAAACGGAGCAGCUGUUGGUCUCAGGAGGGCUCCAUGUCAAAAGUGCCUUGAAUUUAAUGACACACGUGCUCUUUUCAGACUUUUUACAGAGGUCAGCAAGCACUUGGCAAAGAACUUUCCUUUGUCAUCCAGCUCGGGAGAGCAGCAAACAAAGUUUAGUUUCCAAGUCGAAGAUGAAAUCAGCUGCUCCCUCCGGGGCGUGUAACAAGCUGCACCUGAAGCUGGUUUCCCCUUGCAAAUGGCCUAAAUUAGAUGUUCUUCCUGCUCUCCCUCGGUGGAGGAGCUUGUGCUUGAUCCAGCAGUUCCUUUUGUGCAAAGUAUUAUGAGAUGUUUGCUGAUAGUGCUUGUCUUACUGCCCCUGCAAGGCUCUAUGUAGAAUGAAGGACUUGUUGCUGAGGGACUGGGGGGGGGAGUUUGGGCUCCUGCCUUGCCCACUCCUUUGUUUUCAGGAAAUUUGUUUAUAAAUAAAUACAAUUUCUGCUAUCUUUGGGACAGAUUUACUAAUUAACAUGAGCUCAAUCAAAGCUCAUUGGCUUACAAAGGUCUUUUUGGAGACUUAGGAUCCGCUCACCUUCUUAUGGAUCCAUUAAACUCAAUUUUAAAUUUCAAAAUCCUCCUUGAAUAUUGAGUUAACAUUGGGUUGAUAGCUGUGGAGGAAGUUGUCUUCGUCUCCUAUCUCCUACUGCUAACAUUUACAGCAAACUGGUGCAUGCAGCUAAGUACAUUUCCAUUUUUUUUCUGUACAGAUAUAUAUAUAUUUUUUUUUAGUUAUCAGCACUGUUUAAGGUCAGAAAAAAACAGUGGGUCACCCAGGCUGCCAAGUAGGAAAUGACCUAGGGCUCGGAGCAGCUCUAGGAAGCAUUGUUCAGCCUCGGCUUUCUGAGCAUCACAUUGGAAACUCGGAAUCCUUUUGGGUUCUCUGCUGCUGGGCCUUUUAAAUGUCUGGUUUCUGUAGCAGUAAGGACUCAUUUCCGUGGGCUGUUCCUGCUCUGGGGCAGCUGCUGCUUUCCAAGAGCCCCAUGCAAGCAGCUGUGUGCUAUCUUGGGUACGCCUUGACCGAUUGCAUCCUUAACCUGCGUACGUAUUCUGAGGUGUGUGAGUGGAGAACUCAAACCCUGCAGGCAACGAGAGCACCCCCGGUGCUGGGCUUUCUUUGUGCUGCGACUUUUUCCCUCUACUCCUGAGCUUCCAGCGUGCCGUUGCCAACUCAUGAUAACUUCCUUGGACCGCCGUUUAUUGGAUUAAAUGGAUCAGCGCUGUACAGCUGUGAUGCCCCGCGCUGCAUGUAGGCUGAGCCCGGCAUCCCCGUGCGUUGCAGGUUUCCGAAGCCACCUUUUGCCACGAGGGUGCUGCUGCUCCCUGGCACGGCUCCGCGAUCGUGUCUCAGAGCUCGGCGGUGGGACGGGGCACAGCAGAAGGCUCUAGUGGCACUGGCUGCCUCGGAGGGCUGGGUUGUCUAACCUGAGGCUUACCUGGGGGCUUAUUCCAAACCUAAAUCGGGUGCUUGCGCAGUGCUGGGGGGGGUCUUUGAGAUGAAGAUGUUAAAAAAUGAGAAAAUGCUCAGCUCUUUAUUUUCCUACUGUGUUCUUACUGUUUUAUGUAGUGACUUCUGGUACCCUGAAGUGUCCGUUCCCAGGCUGGGGGGGCAAUUUAGAGAAUGGAAUACCCACAGUAAUGCCUUUAAUAUACUCGGUGGCUGCUUUCCCUGCAGUCCUAAUGAAACCCAGCCAUGAAAGGCUAAUCUGCAUCCCAUGUGUUCGUCCUCGACGGUGCUGCGCUGGCGGGGCCAGACCAGCACUGAUACCCAGCUGUUUGUCCUGCCCUUUCCGAAGCUGCCAGGCUGCAAAUGAUGGAUUUCUCCUUCCAUCACACCAGGCUUUAGCAAAGCUGACCUCCACAUGAAAAACAGCUCUGCUGUAUCCCUCGGUAUCACUGCCCAUGUAUGUGAUGGGUGAUGGUACCGUUGUGGGGCAGAGGGCGAGGAGGGGGCUCUGCACGCACCGUGGGGAGCCCUGUGGUGGUGUGGGGCUGCAGGACUUCCACGGGCGGCAGCUGAAGGACGUUACCUGUGAUGAGUCCUUGCAACAUGUCUGCUUCACUGGUUCACGGUGCUCAUAACCUGGCAGCACCUGUGUGCAGACUGGGAGGGGCUCCUCGUCAGGCAUUAAUUUGACACCCAGCUGCUCCAACCACCCAUCCUACCCCCAGGCUGUUGCUCGCUGACCGAUGCUGCCAAGCACCACAGAUUUGAAAUUCUAUUACCAUUUCAGAAGGCAGGCGUUUGAAGAGAAAAUUGAAUACCCGUCCAGUCUUGAUAAGAAGGGACAUUUGGAGAAACACGGUGACUUAAAAAUCCAUCUCCGGUGGCUCGCGGAUGGGAACUGGAGCCCGGACGCCCUGCCAUGUCGUUCACAGGGCCGGACAUUUCAUCCUCGCCGAGGAGCUGUGCGACAUGUCCCUGGAAUGACAAUGAAGAGCAAACACGACGCCGUAGCCUGCUGUUUCCGAAGGGGCCCGAUUCUUCGCUGCCAUCCCCAGAAAACGAAGGGGCUCCUUGGCGUCUCGUGGCCGCCCGCUUGUCCCACGUGGAGGAGAUGAAUUUCUCAACUCCGGAGGAUUUGGUGUUCGUCUUUCUGCUGACGUGGAUGGUGGAGGAGACAGCCAGCCUGGGAGACGGAGCAUGGCACCUAGGAGUAGGGGCAGAUGUGGCAGAUGUGAACACGCUGCCCUACAACCCACGGGUCCUUUCCCUAGUACAAACCCUGUCUCCUGAAAGGAGGUGACGGGGAGAACAGGGGGCUCGGUUUUAGUCUUGCUGGUGCAGCAUCUGGUCUUAAUUGUCAUUUCCUGCCUCCUCUGCACGAGGUGGAGAAAGGGCUGCGUAAAAAGGGUGUUCAGGGAGGAAAUAGGGCAGGUGGGAGCGAGCAGCAGCAAGGUGGCUGCAGCACGGGGGCUGGAGGGGGCUCUGACUUUCCCCAGGAGGGAUGCGCUGCCUGGUCCCAGCUGAAUCGGUGAGCCCUGACCUACAGUCGCCAUCCGCAACCAUUAGGUUUCAGAGUCAACAUCUGCUGCAAUGAACAGGGGGGCUCUUUACACCUCCUUUAAAGCCGUUGGGUGAAUCUGUCUUGCCUUUUCCUAUCUGCAAGGCUGACAGCAAACCCCUGCCUGCCCCCUCCCUCCCUCCUCCCCCAGGAAAAUGCCACGGAACCUGCUGCAGCUGGCCGUGACGUGCAGCUGAGUCACCGAAUGCCACCAGCGCUCAACACGCCGAUGAUCGCGCUGCGCCCUUCUGCAGGCUGCAACAAAUCAAAGCAGCCACGUGGGCUCCAGCGGGCAUCUCUGCCCGGCUUCUGCUCCGUCUCCUGGCGGGGUGGGAGCCCCCAAACAGCGGGGCCGGGGCGGUGGCACCACGUCCGCGGUGCCGGGCGGGGGACGGUGCCGUGCCCCUCAGGCUCUCUGCGGAGCGGUGUAGUCAGGAAGUGACUUUCUUUCUUCCCUUCAAAGUUGCCCCGACUCGAAGUCAGGCCUGUCUGCUUUUGGUUCCCGCUGCGCAGGGAAGCCUGGAUGUUAUUCAUCAAGGGAUGUCUGAUUUGCUUAGCAGGGAGCCCUCGGGCUGCCGGGAGGAAGCACAAAGUGGUUCGGCAGUGGCUGCAAAGGUGGGAUCGGAGUCCAGGAGCUGACGGACACGAGGAUGCUCUCCCCGGGCCUGGGAGGGUUGAGAUGGCAGCUUGACGGCUUGGAAAAUAGGCUGAGAUGAAGGAAUAUCAAUACGGAGAGAGAGCUGUUCCUGCCGAGCAGCCCCGGGGCAGCUAACGUGAAAUGCUGGUUGUCUCCCAGGAGCUGACAGGUGUCUGCAUCAGGCUUCCUGCUAAUUAAGCGCCGUUGUGAGUCACGGGCAAAGGGAUGGAGGAGCCGGGAAGAAGCUCACCCAUGAAGGUAUGGCUGGGGGGGGGCUCUGCAGGGGCUCCCUCCCACCUGGGGAAGAGCUGAGGGAAGGACUGGUGCAUGUCAGGUCAUUGUCAGGUGAGGGAUAAGCAGUCAUGGGGCAGGCAAGUCUUUAGGGAGCUUGGAGAGGAGCAGAGCUUCUUCAAGACACGUCCUUCUGGGUGUCCGUCCUCUCCCACCAUGCUGCUUGUCCUUCUCUGGGUCCCACCAGCUCCUGGAGCUCCCACCGCAGACCUGCGAGACCUCGCAGGAACACCCCAGCACAUCUCACACCCAUCCCAGCACCAAAACACUCACAGCAGGGACCCCCUUCCCAAACCACUGGGUGCAUCGCUCCCGGCCCAGCAGGCUGGAGAAAUCACAGGGCUCCCAGACCUCUCUUUCCUCCAAUCCUCCUCCCUCCUUCCAGGUGACCUCCUGUGCCCGGCUGACCUCUCCCUUCCCAGCCCCGGCCAGGGGAGCUUCUCGCUGUAAUUAACGGCAGCGCUGCCUGCCCGCCGAGGCCUCUAAUAGAAAAUUCCCCAUUUCAAGGAACAUAAGCACAGCGGGGCGGAGGAAGGGGCCGUUCAUCAGCGAUGCUUUGCGGGCGCCUGUGGAUCCAGAGGGCGUCCGUAGCAGCAGGCACGGGAUAAAAGCAGGCAGCAAAGUGCCCUCCUCGCCAGGCGGGCCGGGGAGAGGAGGAAUGACAGCCCCCAUGCCACCCCACGUCCCUUCCCCAUGUGCCUCUCCAGUGCCUUUUGCCUGCUGGCCCUGCCUGCGUUUGCAGCUGUGAUCCCCUGAAAAAUGGCUCUAUUCAUUACCCAUUUUAAUUUCAGUCUGGAUCCCCAGAGCUCUGCAGACACAUUUUGUUAUCCUGGCUGUCAAGAAGCUUAAAGAGCUGCUGACGCCUCCUGGAAAACUUUGACAAACCCUCUGUUUGGGCACCGUGCUGCCUCCCCAGCCUGUCUGCCCAGGCUUUCCGCUCCCUAGUUCUUUAUUAGCAACGAUGUCUGCGAGGACAGGAGGAGAGAAAAAGCCCCACCACUGACAUCUGUGCAGAACCGAUUUCCUCUCGAGGCCCCUUCCCUUUCAGAGGAUGCCCUGGGAGCUGAGCUGCAGAGGACGGGUGUGAAUGUCCCCAAAGAUCAAGUUUGCUCUCCGGGAAGCCAGAUGUCACAGCGGAAAGGGGCACUGGGUUUGUCCCAUCCCCACACAUCGCUGCUCAGCGCAGAGGGCUUAAACCUGUGGUCGCAGACUCUCAGGGAACCAUUUUAGGUGGUCCCCGGGAGGUGAACAGGGGAGCUGAUCUGUGCCUGAAGACCUGUGUGCACCAUGCAGGAGCCUGUGUUCUCAAUGGGAAAUUUUUAGCAGUCAGAAGCUGAAAAUGGUUGAAAAAAUCACAAAUUUAGCCACUUAUUUAUAGCCCCUCACCACUCAGUUGGACUGGAUUAACCCAGUGAGCUGCGCGGAACAGCUUUCCCAUCUAUUCUGGCUCUCUUUGGCGAUCUAAUCCUCUCCCAAUUAGUUUCUUUUUACAUGGUAGUUGUCGGGCUGCUUUUAGAGAACAAAAUGCCCCUCGGUCUCUUCACUAACAUAGGAAAGUGCACCAGACACACCGAGAACAGAUCGUCUCUAAAUGUAAUUUUGGUCAAAGUUCUGCGUAAGAAGUGCAGAGUCAGCCGCAUGCUUUUAGCAUAAUGAGAACGAGCCAGCCGAACUCGUAACCUCUGUGGUUUUGGUCCAGCUGAGAACGGAGUCAUCUUCUGCUUCAAACCUUCCUCCCAGCGCCCCGCCGAGCUCUGAAAUUCCGAGUGCCUUUGAGGUGCCACUCACGCCGGCUGUCCUCGGGGCACGUGGGAGCACGGCCGAGCCUGCCGGUCCCCGGAGGUUCGUCAGCUGCAGGGGGAUGAGGAGGCACGAGGGCUGAGGGGGAGCAGAGCAAUUAAAAAGCCAUCAGAGGCAGGACAAAAAGACGAGGCUUUCAGAGCUAACGAGGGGCCAGCUGCAGGGGUGAGCUGCCCAGACCCUGGGGAAAGCCACGAGUGAUGAGCGUGGUCCCCUGAUCUCUGGGCAUGGUGCUGGACGAGCCAUCGGGAUGGCCGUGGGGUGCUGUGGGCUCUGUGGUUUGCUGCAAGCCCACGUCUCCUCCCCACCUCAUCUGAACCCCAGAAAUGUUCCUGCCGUGCACCCAGGCCCCUGGCAUGGGGGCUCUUGUUCUUUUUUGCCUGUUUUUAUUCCUCUCUGCAACCCCCUGCUCCUGACCUCCAGCAGUAUGUUCUGCAUAAUCAGUGCUAUUUUCUAAAGUAACGAUAACCUAUGCUAACUACUGGAAACUGUAGAUGACAAAAACCUACCCUGUUUGCUAAAAUCUUGAAGCAAUAAUAAAACCCUAGGUAUAACCACAGCCCUGUGGCCAGUCAUCAUUCUGCCCAGGCCUCCUAGAGAACCCGCCUGUCCCCAGGUGACACUGUCGCGCCUGGACCUCUUUGGAAGCUGCUGGAUGGCUGGAGGCAUGCUGGUGGCCAGGGUGCCAGGCCUCUUUCCUGAGCUCUUCUGAGCUCCUCCGCCUUGGUUUCAUUCCUCACCACUUUGUCAAUCCAUCACCCUCUCGUUCAGCAAAAAUAAGGUGCUCGGGCUCCCCUCCCACCGGUGCUGAGCUGGGGAAGGGGAGCUGCAGAGAUGGUCGGAGCCUUGCGGGGCUGCGUGAUCCUGCCCUGCGCACGGAGCGAGCACAGGGAUAAUCCGCCCCUCUUCCCCACGCCUGCAGCACGAGAUAGUGGCCGAGAGAGCAAGGUGCCCGUGCAACGCUCCUGAGAGCGAGCGGAUUUACAGGCGGUGGUGGGAGCCUGCCUGAAUAUCUCUCCCUUCUUCUUUAUGCGUUUAAGAGGUUUCGCUGUCUCGCUAACUCCCCUGAGAGGCCCAAGUAGCAGCCUCUUCGGAUGUGAAUACCUGACAAGUUUUUAAUGUGAAAUGAAUUCACUAAAUUUAGUCUCUUGGAGGGGAAGGAAAAAAAAAAAGAGAACCGCUUCUUUCAAUCUGGGGGAAGUGAUCCAAACCCCAGCCGCUUCCCUGCCAUCAGAGCGAGCUGAUUUGUUCUUUUCUCCUCUGUCUCAAAAGCUUUUAAGUCUGGGCCCCAUGUGUGCCUGUGCACAAAUAAGAGGUGGGAGAAUGGCAGGCACCGACGCCGGUGUCUCAGGGGGAAUAUGACAGCUCCCAGCUCCUGGCCUCCACAUGACAGAUGUUGACGAGGGCAGGGUGGGGAGAUAGACAAAAGAAAAACCUGUGAAGAGGGCUCUCUUUGGGUCGGAAGGGACCUCUUGUCUGAGUCUUAGGGAUGCCGUCUUUGCUUUCGAGUGGACGUUGUGCAAGACACAACUGGUGCUGAGGGCUGGAAGUAAAAAGCACCUUGCCUGGCGUACUUGUCUGAAUCACCUGUUCUCCACCCCAUCCUCUCUUCCUACCCUCGCUGGAGCCUCCAAGGUCCACUUUUCUUCUCUGUUCUGGCUCCUGAGGUUCACCAGGAACCUUCUGCUCUCCUUUGUUGUCCUCUCCCAAGGGCCAGAGUAGCCUCUGGGCUCUGCUGGCUGAAGGAGGCUUCCUGGUCUCCAUGGCUUCAUGAAGGUUACUUCAGCCCAGGUAAGGAGCUGUGUACGUGCUUGUAUCUGUUAGUACAGGUGGAGGCAAGCGCACGUGGUCAGUCGUUGGAGGCUGAGGUCUCCACGAGCAUGUCUACACGUCCACACAAGGUGAGUAUAUGCAUUACUGCAGCAGAGCUGAUGGCUGGCUACUCCAAAAUUCAAUGGUGUACAUGAGGCUGAAGGGCAAAGUGUGUCUUGGUGAUGCGGUUUGGUGGAGAUAAAGGUUUGGCUGGCUGUGCCCUGGGCGAGCAAGCCAGCUGUGUCUAUUGCCCUCAUGGCGCUAGUGCCUGGAUGCCCACCUGACCUGUGGUCGGGGUUUGGAGGCUGUUAUCUCGGUGGGCUGUGGGUUUUUGUGGCUGGAGGGCUACUAAGAUUGAAGCCCCAAGCUGGGGGAGAUCAUUCACCCCCAUGCUGCAGUGAUCCACCACUCCAUCUCCUGGCAGGAGAGCGGUUACACACCAUUUAUAUCCCACAUAUCACCGGUGAAAGGAGUGGAGGUGCAGGCCUGAUUAUGAAGACUUUAUUUAGUUCUGUUUGCCUCUAAAAAGGUCACUUCCCAGCUGAGAGAUGCAGGAGCAGAGGAGGAUGGUCACUGGUUUCUGCAGGGCCUACACCCACGCAGGGACACCGGGGUGGUCCUGUGCUGGGGAUGGGGUACGUGGGCAUGGGGCAACCGUGCUCUGGCUUGGUGCGAAGCAAAAAUGAA